AAGUCGUAACAAGGUUUCCGUAGGUGAACCUGCGGAAGGAUCAUUACUUUCAGUACUUUGGGGGCUGUCAGUCUAUAUCACUAUAGCAAGCCUCCGUCUGAAACCCUUGUCUUUUGCGUACCUUAUGUUUCCUCGGCGGGCUUGCCCGCCGGUUGGACAACCAUAAAACCUUUUUAAUUUUCAAUCAGCGUCUGAAAAAACAUAAUAAUUACAACUUUCAACAACGGAUCUCUUGGUUCUG
rnacentral:misc_RNA from 1 species